UACAGAGGUCUCAAGCGUUGUUCGGAUUCAUUGGGCGUAAAGGGUGCGUAGGCGGCGCGGUAAGUCGGGUGUGAAAUCUCGGAGCUUAACUCCGAAACUGCAUUCGAUACUGCCGUGCUUGAGGACUGGAGAGGAGACUGGAAUUUACGGUGUAGCGGUGAAAUGCGUAGAUAUCAAGUGGAACACCAGUGGCGAAGGCGAGUCCCUGGACAACUCCUGACAUUGAGGCACGAAAGCUAGGGGAGCAAACAGG
rnacentral:rRNA from 1 species